UUUUUACUAUGAGUUUAGGUGAUCUUCCAAAAAUGACAAUUAACAGAUUAGUUGGAUUCUAUGUUGCUCCCCUUCAAGCAAGAGGGAAAAUGGGUUCAAAUUGUAGCCUACGUUUCGAGCUACAUCGACAAUUACGAUGUUUGGACAGGUGACAGGACCUCUGAGAGUCAGGACGUGGCUACACCAACCCUGCUGUAGAGGAACAGACUAAUACCUGGAUGGUGAGAAGUUUGCUUUUCAAUUCCACUGUAUCAUUCAGGAUCAAAAUACAAUACAUAUCUGACUGGGGUCUUUACAUGUUUGGCUUGUUUGUUAUGAGUGUUCCCAAGUACAGAAAUUCCUCCCAUGAAGAUGGAGAAAGCAUCCAUGUGAGGUUGGGUCUACACCUUCAUUCACAGGUACGAGACAGGUGAGUUUGGAGUGUUUUUGUUUAAUAGCUCCUGAAUGUUUCAGCUGUGGCUCAGGUUACAGCUGGCUGGAGGCCUGGCGCUGGAAUGACAAGCGCUGGAUAAUGAUCCGGGCCAGUGUAAGUACAAAUUGUUGGGACCAGGUCUUGAAAGGGCUUGCUCAAGCAUGUCAGUUAGGUUCUGGCAGAGAGCUGGAGCUCUCCAGCUGGCCCUUAACUCUCACUGAUCUCCCCUAGUACGUACUGUAAACACACACACACACACAUGCCCUUGCACACACAAACACACAUGUGCGCAACACACACACUGACAUGUGCCCUUGUAUACACAUGACAUACACACACAUGCACUUGCACACAUACACACCUAAAGAGACACACAAUCAUCUCACUGAAAUGAUUUGACAGUAGCUAAAUCCCACUGUUACUGGCUGUGAUAUUGUGGUGAUUGUCUCCCCUGACCAUAACAUGGCCAGGUGGUCUGAUCUAAGUCAUAUUUGAUGUCCAACAUACAACAGCCUUGACUUGAGAGAAUGACAUCAAGCUGCCUCUAAGCUGAUAACCCAGCAACAAACCUGCCGUUGUUGUGUGGAUAAAGGCUUAACCUCAUGUUGGCUGUGCUGCUGUUUGAACCAGAACGAGGUCUGACCAGAGGAUCCUGAAUGGAAAUGCCAUUCUGCUGAGAAAGCAAAACUUGCGGAACAUCUACACAUCAAAGGUUUGAGUCACUUCUAGACAGACUUUUGGGAAGUGUGUGUAUGUGGGUGCGUGUGUGUGUGUGCCAGCUGGAGGGCUGUGCUGAUGUGUCUGGCUGUCGUUGUCUCUGUCUUUAGGUGGUGGCGUGUGUGAUUUUCUUUCUGUGUGUGUGUGUGUGUGUGUGUGUCGACCAUGUCUGGUAUCAGGUAAGGGUAUGGCUGCUUCCUACAUUGUAGUGAGAUAAUGAGGUUUGAUUAAAUAUGGAUGCUAAGUGUUUAGUGGCAGCAGCAGAAACAGGACCCUGAGGCUCCCCGGGGCUGUGUAAUUAGCAGCUGCUGAUGGAUGCCUUUGGUGCUGCUUCUCCACACAGGCUGGCUUGUCACGCCGUCGGCUCCUAGCCGGGAUCGAGCCAGGCCCACUUUAAACCACCCACAGCUCCUCCACGCCGCAAGCACACGCCAGCGACCACACGCCAGCGACCACACUGAUGCCCUCUCAACUCAACAGACAUUCGACUCAGUGCCUGUACAAACAAAUUACUGCCGGUUCUCAGUGUGAAAUACUUUUUUUUCCUUAUUCUAAUCUCACGUCUCCAUGUGUGGGAUUCGGAGCAUGCCUCAGCAUGGGUCGUGUCAGCACAAGACAAAUGAUGGAGAUUGAAAAAGACAUUUGAAUGAUAAACGGCUGGGUAAUUAGAAUGCUUCCGAGAACAGCCUGGAUACAGAAGAGAUGCUGUUCUGCCAUCUCAGGACCCCUGCUGCUCAUAAUCCCUGAUACUGGACAUCCUGCCAUACUGCAUGUUAUUAAAUAUGAAUGGGGCUCCUAAGAUGUAAACACUCUUUAUAACACCACUCCCAACCAAAUCCGUAGUUUAUGAUGUCAAAUACUCUAUUAAAUAUUCAUAAUCAUAAAAUGAAGAAAUUCAUCAUA